GCUGGGCAUGGUGGUGCAUGCCUGUAAUCCCAGCUGCUGGGGAGGUUGAGGCAGGAGGAUCUUAAAUUCAAAGCCAGCCUCAGCAAUUUAGCAAGGCCUUAAGCAAUUCAGCGAGAUCCUGUCUCCA
rnacentral:sRNA from 1 species